CAGCGCCACGAGUGGCAAUCACGAUUAUUGGGCCUAAAGCGUCCGUAGCCGGUUCGGUAAAUCCUUUGUGAAAUCGCCAGGCUUAACCUGGCGGCGUGCAGGGGACACUGCCGAACUCGAGACCGGGAGGAGUUAGCAGUAUUUCUGGGGGAGCGGUAAAAUGCUAUAAUCCCAGAAGGACUACCUAUGGCGAAGGCAUCUAACUAGAACGGAUCUGACGGUGAGGGACGAAAGCCAGGGGAGCGAACCGGAUUAGAUACCCGAGUAGUCC
rnacentral:rRNA from 1 species